GAUGAACGCUGGCGGCGUGCCUAAUACAUGCAAGUCGAGCGAACAGACGAGGAGCUUGCUCCUCUGACGUUAGCGGCGGACGGGUGAGUAACACGUGGAUAACCUACCUAUAAGACUGGGAUAACUUCGGGAAACCGGAGCUAAUACCGGAUAAUAUAUUGAACCGCAUGGUUCAAUAGUGAAAGACGGUUUUGCUGUCACUUAUAGAUGGAUCCGCGCCGCAUUAGCUGGUUGGUAAGGUAACGGCUUACCAAGGCAACGAUGCGUAGCCGACCUGAGAGGGUGAUCGGCCACACUGGAACUGAGACACGGUCCAGACUCCUACGGGAGGCAGCAGUAGGGAAUCUUCCGCAAAGGGCGAAAGCCUGACGGAGCAACGCCGCGUGAGUGAUGAAGGUCUUCGGAUCGUAAAACUCUGUUAUUAGGGAAGAACAAAUGUGUAAGUAACUAUGCACGUCUUGACGGUACCUAAUCAGAAAGCCACGGCUAACUACGUG
rnacentral:rRNA from 1 species